AGUGAACGCUGGCGGUAGGCCUAACACAUGCAAGUCGAACGGCAGCACAGUAAGAGCUUGCUCUUACGGGUGGCGAGUGGCGGACGGGUGAGGAAUACAUCGGAAUCUACUUUUUCGUGGGGGAUAACGUAGGGAAACUUACGCUAAUACCGCAUACGACCUACGGGUGAAAGCAGGGGAUCUUCGGACCUUGCGCGAUUGAAUGAGCCGAUGUCGGAUUAGCUAGUUGGCGGGGUAAAGGCCCACCAAGGCGACGAUCCGUAGCUGGUCUGAGAGGAUGAUCAGCCACACUGGAACUGAGACACGGUCCAGACUCCUACGGGAGGCAGCAGUGGGGAAUAUUGGACAAUGGGCGAAAGCCUGAUCCAGCCAUACCGCGUGGGUGAAGAAGGCCUUCGGGUUGUAAAGUCCUUUUGUUGGGAAAGAAAAGCAGCAGGUUAAUACCCCGCUGUUCUGACGGUACCCAAAGAAUAAGCACCGGCUAACUUCGUG
rnacentral:rRNA from 1 species